rnacentral:rRNA from 1 species
GACGAACGCCGGCGGCGUGCUUAACACAUGCAAGUCGAGCGGUAAGGCCCUUUCGGGGGUACGACGAGCGGCGAACGGGUGAGUAACACGUGGGUGACCUGCCCUCCAGCUCUGGGAGUAAGCCUGGGAAACCGGGUCUAAUACUGGAUACGACUCCAUGACGCAUGUUGGUGGGGUGGGAAAGCCUUGUGCGGCUGAGGAUGGGCCCGCGGCCUAUCAGCUUGUUGGUGGGGUGAUGGCCACCAAGGCGACGACGGGUAGCCGGCCUGAGAGGGCGACCGGCCACACUGGGACUGAGACACGGCCCAGACUCCUACGGGAGGGCAGCAGUGGGGAAUCUUGCGCAAUGGGCGAAAGCCUGACGCAGCGACGCCGCGUGAGGGAUGACGGCCU